GACCUUUGAGCUCUGCGUGUCUCGAGAUAAUAUGCUCGAAAGAGGUCUGAAAUUAUGGAAGCGCAACAAAAAGGCUACACCACUUGAUCCCUUGUGGAUCAAAUUCCUUGGAGAGACGGGGAUUGAUACAGGGGCCCUUAGAUUAGUUUCUGACCACAAUGGUAUCUGGGAUUGAGCAAUGCCUUUUUGAAGGUGGGAAGUCCAAAAUGCCCAAAUACUCUGUGAAUGACUUUGAUGAAGAGCUCUUCAGGAUUGCAGAUGAAAUCUUUGCUACAAGCAUUGCCAAAGGUGGACCUGCACCACGUUUCCUCUAGCGGUGGUGCUACGACUUUCUAGUAUCUGGCAAGCUCUCAUUGGAUCACGUCCUGGACCCGAGCUUAUCACCGCUAAUAAUAACAGUUGCAGAGGCGUCCGACAUGACCGACUACAUUGCAGACAUUAUGGAUUGUGGCUAUACUGGCAAGAUUGACAUGGAACACAAAGAGAACAUUCUAAGAGCAAUCGGUCUGCAUGUCAUGACGAAAAGAAUGCACAUGCUUCAGCAACUCCGUGAGGGCUUGGACAUCUACGGCUUCUCCCAAGUGAUGCAGGCAAAGAAGAGUGCCGCAGUCUGUUUGUCGCCAGAGACGACGAGUCGGUGGACUCUCAUUACAUCACUUCCCAUCUGGCGCCGGAGAUGAGCGAAAGGGGCUGCAACAAGUACCACAAGGAGACCCAGAUCCUUGAACACUUUCAAGACUUACUGCAUGAGCUGGAAGUUGCUGAACCAGAUGCCACGUCUGAAGACAUCACAACUGUACCCUCAGUGAUGCAGUGGAUUACGGGUCAUGCCCACAGACAUCUUCUUUCUGAUUGCCAGAACUUCAAGAUCACAGUGAAGUUUGAUCAUGACUGUCACAAGAUGCCUAACCACACAAUCUGUUAUCCAACAGUCAGCGCUUGCACAGACACCAUAAAAUUCCCUGUUGCACACAUGUCAGACUAUGGGUCUUUCAAAAACGUCAUGACAACAGCCAUUAAAUAUGGUGCAGGAUUUGAUAGAGCGUGAUGCAUUGUGAUUCACGUGUGUAAACCCACUUGUUAUAUCCUCGAAUAUGGCCGGAUUCCACAGGGGAGUUGGGAACUUGCAUAGCAGGGUCUUAAACCUUUACAUACUGUUCAGGGUCAAAUUUGACCAAUUUUAACAUUUGACAGCUGUACAAACACAUUUCUGCUCGGUGGACUUUGUCGAAUGUGACUC